rnacentral:rRNA from 1 species
GCGUGCAACUGCGAAUGGCUCAUUAAAUCACUUAUCGUUUAUUUGAUAGUACCUUACUACAUGGAUAACCGUGGUAAUUCUAGAGCUAAUACAUGCUAAAAACCUCGACUUCGGAAGGGGUGUAUUUAUUAGAUAAAGAACCAAUGCCCUUCGGGGCUCCUUGGUGAAUCAUAAUAACUUAACGAAUCGCAAGGCCUUGCGCCGGCGAUGGUUCAUUCAAAUUUCUGCCCUAUCAACUUUCGAUGGUAGGAUAGUGGCCUACCAUGGUAUCAACGGGUAACGGGGAAUUAGGGUUCGACUCCGGAGAGGGAGCCUGAGAAACGGCUACCACAUCCCAGGAAGGCAGCAGGCGCGCAAAUUACCCAAUCCCGACACGGGGAGGUAGUGACAAUAAAUACUGAUACAGGGCUCUUUUGGGUCUUGUAAUUGGAAUGAGUACAAUUUAAAUCCCUUAACGAGGAACAAUUGGAGGGCAAGUCUGGGC